CAUUAUCGAGUUUUGAAAUAGGUUGUAGCUGGCCUCAUAAGGGGCAUGUGCACGCCUGGCUCAUCCACUCUUCAACCUCUGUGCACUUAUUGUAGGUCGGUGAAAGGUUGAUUUCAAAAAUCAGCUGGAAGCCUUCCUAUGUUUCUUACUAUAAACGCUCCAGUUAUAGAAUGUAUUUCUGCGUGUAACGCAUCUAUAUACAACUUUCAGCAACGGAUCUCUUGGCUCUCGCAUCGAUGAAGAACGCAGCGAAAUGCGAUAAGUAAUGUGAAUUGCAGAAUUCAGUGAAUCAUCGAAUCUUUGAACGCACCUUGCGCUCCCUGGUAUUCCGGGGAGCAUGCCUGUUUGAGCAUCAUGGAAUUCUCAAUCUUGAAUACUUUUGUAUUGAAGACUUGGACUUGGAGGUUUGUGCUGGCUCUUGCUUAGUCGGCUCCUCUGAAAUGCAUUAGCGUGAAUAUUAUGGAUCGCUUCGGUGUGAUAAUUAUCUGCGCCGUAGUCGUGAAGUAUAUUUAUGUUUGCGCUUCUAAUCGUCCUUCAUCGGACAAUUACUUUGACCUUUGAUCUCAAAUCAGGUAGGACUACCCGCUGAACUUAA
rnacentral:rRNA from 1 species